rnacentral:rRNA from 1 species
GCGGAAUCAGCCUGUUAUCCCCGGAGUACCUUUUAUCCGUUGAGCGAUGGCCCUUCCAUUCAGAACCACCGGAUCACUAUGACCUGCUUUCGCACCUGCUCGACUUGUCGGUCUCGCAGUCAAGCACGCUUAUGCCAUUGCACUAUCAGCACGAUUUCCGACCGUACCUAGCGUACCUUCGUACUCCUCCGUUACACUUUGGGAGGAGACCGCCCCAGUCAAACUGCCUACCAUGCACUGUCCCCGAUCCGGAUUACGGACCAAGGUUAGAACCUCAAACAAACCAGGGUGGUAUUUCAAGGACGGCUCCACGCAGACUGGCGUCCACGCUUCAUAGCCUCCCACCUAUCCUACACAGAUCGGUUCAAAGUCCAAUGCAAAGCUACAGUAAAGGUUCAUGGGGUCUUUCCGUCUAGCCGCGGGGAGAUUGCAUCAUCACAAACACUUCAACUUCGCUGAGUCUCGGGAGGAGACAGUGUGGCCAUCGUUACGCCAUUCGUGCAGGUCGGAACUUACCCGACAAGGAAUUUCGCUACCUUAGGAUGGUUAUAGUUACCACCGCCGUUUACUGGGGCUUAAAUUCUCAGCUUCGCCAACAAAGUUGACUAACCGGUCCUCUUAACCUUCCAGCACCGGGCAGGCGUCAGUCCAUAUACAUCAACUUAACGUCUUCGCAUGGACCUGUGUUUUUGAUAAACAGUCGCUUCCCUCUAUUCUCUGCGACCCCACAACCCACCACCAGCGCAAAGACUGGUUUAAGUCGUGUGGUCCCCCUUCUUCCGAAGUUACGGGGGCAUUUUGCCGAGUUCCUUAACCACAGUUCACCCGCUCGCCUUAGUAUUUUCUACCUGACC